UGUAAGCGUAUACCAAAGUUGUUGCAGUUAAAACGCUCGUAGUCGGAAUUUGGCAGUUCCGGAUGUGUGCACGUCGUGUGCGCACUUCGCGGGGAUUGCUUUUGUGGUCUUGCGUAGGAUGAGGCACUUUUAUUAGUGAACGUCCUCACGCAACCACUUUUUACUGUGAGAAAAUCAGAGUGCUCAAAGCAGGCAUUUGCCGUGAAUGUAUUAGCAUGGAAUAAUAGGAUAGGACUUGGUUCUAUUUUGUUGGUUUGUUGGGACUGAGUAAUGAUUAAGAGGGACAGUUGGGGGCAUUUGUAUUUCGGUGCUAGAGGUGAAAUUCUUAGAUUACCGAAAGACAAACUGCUGCGAAAGCGUCUGCCAAGGAUGUUUUCAUUGA
rnacentral:rRNA from 1 species